rnacentral:rRNA from 1 species
GAGUUUGAUCGUGGCUCAGAUUGAACGCUGGCGGCAUGCCUUACACAUGCAAGUCGAACGGCAGCACGGGAGCUUGCUCCUGGUGGCGAGUGGCGAACGGGUGAGUAAUGCAUCGGAGCGUAUCCUGGAGUGGGGGAUAACGUAGCGAAAGUUACGCUAAUACCGCAUAUUCUGUGAGCAGGAAAGCGGGGGACCUUCGGGCCUCGCGCUCUUGGAGCGGCCGAUGUCGGAUUAGCUAGUUGGUGAGGUAAAGGCUCACCAAGGCGACGAUCCGUAGCAGGUCUGAGAGGAUGAUCUGCCGCACUGGAACUGAGACACGGUCCAGACUCCUACGGGAGGCAGCAGUGGGGAAUUUUGGACAAUGGGGGCAACCCUGAUCCAGCCAUGCCGCGUGAGUGAAGAAGGCCU